rnacentral:rRNA from 1 species
UACGUAGGGGGCUAGCGUUGUCCGGAAUCAUUGGGCGUAAAGCGCGCGUAGGCGGCCCGGUAAGUCCGUUGUGAAAGUCAAAGGCUCAACCUUUGAAAGCCGAUGGAUACUGCCGGGCUGGAGUCCGGAAGAGGCGAGUGGAAUUCCUGGUGUAGCGGUGGAAUGCGCAGAUAUCAGGAGGGACACCAAUAGCGAAGGCAGCUCGCUGGGACGGUACUGACGCUGAGGCGCGAAAGCGUGGGGAGCGAACAGG